rnacentral:rRNA from 1 species
GACGAACGCUGGCGGCGUGCCUAAUACAUGCAAGUCGAGCGGACAGAAGGGAGCUUGCUCCCGGAAGUUAGCGGCGGACGGGUGAGUAACACGUGGGCAACCUACCCUGUAGAUCGGGAUAACAUCGAGAAAUCGGUGCUAAUACCGGAUAAUCAUUUGAAGUGCAUGCUUCGAAUGUAAAAGAUGGCUCCGGCUAUCACUACGGGAUGGGCCCGCGGCGCAUUAGCUAGUUGGUAAGGUAAUGGCUUACCAAGGCAACGAUGCGUAGCCGACCUGGGAGGGUGAUCGGCCACACUGGGACUGGGACACGGCCCAGACUCCUACGGGAGGAAGCAGUAGGGAAUCUUCCGCAAUGGACGAAAGUCUGACGGAGCAACGCCGCGUGAGUGAUGAAGGUUUUCGGAUCGUAAAGCUCUGUCGUUAGGGAAGAACAAGUGCCGUUUGAAUAAGGCGGCACCUUGACGGUACCUAACCAGAAAGCCACGGCUAACUACGUGCCAGCAGCCGCCGUAACAC